rnacentral:rRNA from 1 species
GGCUCAGGAUGAACGCUGGCGGCGUGCCUAAUACAUGCAAGUCGAACGCACAGCGAAAGGUGCUUGCACCUUCCAAGUGAGUGGCGAACGGGUGAGUAACACGUGGAUAACCUACCUCAAGGUUGGGGAUAACAUUUGGAAACAGAUGCUAAUACCGAAUAAAACUUCGUAUCGCAUGAUACAAGGUUAAAAGGCGCUACGGCGUCACCUAGAGAUGGAUCCGCGGUGCAUUAGUUAGUUGGUGGGGUAAAGGCCUACCAAGACAAUGAUGCAUAGCCGAGUUGAGAGACUGAUCGGCCACAUUGGGACUGAGACACGGCCCAAACUCCUACGGGAGGCUGCAGUAGGGAAUCUUCCACAAUGGGCGAAAGCCUGAUGGAGCAACGCCGCGUGUGUGAUGAAGGCUUUCGGGUCGUAAAGCACUGUUGUAUGGGAAGAACAGCUAGAGUAGGGAAUGACUUUAGUUUGACGGUACCAUACCAGAAAGGGACGGCUAAAUACGUG